GGGCCCGUGGCGCAGUCUGGAUAGCGCGACUGCCUCCUAAGUAGUAGGUCGAGGGUUCGAAUCCCUCCGGGCCCG
rnacentral:tRNA from 1 species